rnacentral:rRNA from 1 species
GAGUUUGAACCUGGCUCAGGACGAACGCUGGCGGCGUGCCUAAUACAUGCAAGUCGAGCGAGCUUGCCUAGAUGAUUUUAGUGCUUGCACUAAAUGAAACUAGAUACAAGCGAGCGGCGGACGGGUGAGUAACACGUGGGUAACCUGCCCAAGAGACUGGGAUAACACCUGGAAACAGAUGCUAAUACCGGAUAACAACACUAGACGCAUGUCUAGAGUUUGAAAGAUGGUUCUGCUAUCACUCUUGGAUGGACCCGCGGUGCAUUAGCUAGUUGGUAAGGUAACGGCUUACCAAGGCAAUGAUGCAUAGCCGAGUUGAGAGACUGAUCGGCCACAUUGGGACUGAGACACGGCCCAAACUCCUACGGGAGGCAGCAGUAGGGAAUCUUCCACAAUGGACGAAAGUCUGAUGGAGCAACGCCGCGUGAGUGAAGAAGGGUUUCGGCUCGUAAAGCUCUGUUGGUAGUGAAGAAAGAUAGAGGUAGUAACUGGCCUUUAUUUGACGGUAAUUACUUAGAAAGUCACGGCUAACUACGUGCCAGCAGCCGCGGUAAUACGUAGGUGGCAAGCGUUGUCCGGAUUUAUUGGGCGUAAAGCGAGUGCAGGCGGUUCAAUAAGUCUGAUGUGAAAGCCUUCGGCUCAACCGGAGAAUUGCAUCAGAAACUGUUGAACUUGAGUGCAGAAGAGGAGAGUGGAACUCCAUGUGUAGCGGUGGAAUGCGUAGAUAUA